CCCGCUGAACUUAAGCAUAUCAAUAAGCGGAGGAAAAGAAACUAACAAGGAUUCCCCUAGUAACUGCGAGUGAAGAGGGAAGAGCUCAAAUUUAAAAUCUGUCAGUUUUUGGCUGACCGAGUUGUAAAUUAGAGAAGUGCUAUCAGCGCUGGCCUGUGCAAAAGUCUCUUGGAAAAGAGCAUCAUAGAGGGUGACAAUCCCGUCUUUGGUACAGAGCUCCAGGGCUACAUGAUGUGCUCUCAAUGAGUCGAGUUGUUUGGGAAUGCAGCUCUAAAUGGGUGGUAAAUUCCAUCUAAAGCUAAAUAUUGGCGAGAAACCGAUAGCGCACAAGUACCGUGAGGGAAAGAUGAAAAGAACUUUGAAAAGAGAGUUAAACAGUACGUGAAAUUGUUGAAAGGGAAACGCUUGAAGUCAGUCGUGUCCUUCAGAAAUCAACCUGACUUUGGUCUGGCUUAUUUUCUUUUGGAUGGGUCAGCAUCAAUUUUGAUCAUUGGAUAAAGACCUUGGGAAAGUGGCAUCUCCGGAUGUGUUAUAGCCCUGGGAUCACAUACAAUGGUUGGGAUUGAGGAACUCAGUGUGAAUUUGGGGUAUACUCACAACACGCACUUAGGAUGCUGGCAUAAUGGCUUUAAUCGACCCGUCUUGAAACACGG
rnacentral:rRNA from 1 species